rnacentral:rRNA from 1 species
GACGGAGGGUGCGAGCGUUGUUCGGAUUGACUGGGCGUAAAGGGCGUGUAGGCGGUCGGCCAAGUCUGAUGUGAAAGCCCGGGGCUCAGCCUCGGAAGUGCGUCGGAAACUAGUCGGCUGGAGCGCGAUAGAGGAGGGUGGAAUUCCUGGUGUAGCGGUGAAAUGCGUAGAUAUCAGGAGGAACACCGGCGGCGAAGGCGGCCCGCUGGAUCGUUGCUGACGCUGAGACGCGAAAGCGUGGGGAGCAAACAGG